UCACACCACCACUGAGCUAUGCCUCCAGGUUCUCAUUGAUGGAUUCUAGGCAGGUGGUGUACCACUAGGGCAAUCCCACCAGCUAAUCACUGAGGGAUUAUAGAUACCAAGACCCUGCAAACACUUGGUCCAGACAAAGACCUCUGAGAACAAGGGGAAGCCUGGAACUGGUGACAGAACUGACAGAGGAUAUGGCUUGACUGAUAAAAUGUGAUUGGCCAGCUUCCUACUUCUGACACCAUCACCAUGCCAUACCUCCCCAGAAUGCCAUGGCUCCUCCCAACCCCACAUGCCAUGGCUCCCCCCCCCCACAUGCCAUGGCUCACCCCACUCCACAUGCCGUGGCUCCCCCCCCCAUGCCAUGGC